UAGGGAAUCUUCCACAAUGGACGCAAGUCUGAUGGAGCAACGCCGCGUGAGUGAAGAAGGGUUUCGGCUCGUAAAGCUCUGUUGUUAAAGAAGAACGUGGGUAAGAGUAACUGUUCUUGUAUUGACGGUAUCUAACCAGAAAGCCACGGCUAACUACGUGCCAG
rnacentral:rRNA from 1 species